AGUGAACGCUGGCGGUAGGCCUAACACAUGCAAGUCGAACGGCAGCACAGUAAGAGCUUGCUCUUACGGGUGGCGAGUGGCGGACGGGUGAGGAAUACAUCGGAAUCUACUUUUUCGUGGGGGAUAACGUAGGGAAACUUACACUAAUACCGCAUACGACCUACGGGUGAAAGCAGGGGAUCUUCGGACCUUGCGCGAUUGAAUGAGCCGAUGUCGGAUUAGCUAGUUGGCGGGGUAAAGGCCCACCAAGGCAACGAUCCGUAGCUGGUCUGAGAGGAUGAUCAGCCACACUGGAACUGAGACACGGUCCAGACUCCUACGGGAGGCAGCAGUGGGGAAUAUUGGACAAAGGGCGCAAGCCUGAUCCAGCCAUACCGCGUGGGUGAAGAAGGCCUUCGGGUUGUAAAGCCCUUUUGUUGGGAAAGAAAAGCAGCAGGUUAAUACCCCGCUGUUCUGACGGUACCCAAAGAAUAAGCACCGGCUAACUUCGUG
rnacentral:rRNA from 1 species